GUAACUUGAAAACUAGCAGCAGUCCUGACCUCUUCAUGAUUGUGUUUCUCUGUCCUAAAUUUUCAGCUGCAUUUUUUCUCCCAGUUUGAGAAGAUUCGAGACUGCCUUCAUGGAAAAGCAUCAUCAGCUGGAUUCAGAAUACAGGGAACUGGCUCAUGAAUGGACUGGGGCUGCAGAGGUGUUGAUAACUGGAGAUGCUUCCAAGAAAUACAUGCAGGAGUCAAGAUACAGCAAAGCAGAACUGUGGUGUUUAAGAGUAUCUUCCUUUCCGAGAGCUGGAACUUGGAUGAGAAUAACUGAGACUGGUGGAGCUAGGACCCAGGAAGUGCAAAUAGCCAGGAGCUGAUCCAGAAAGUGCAGUUCCUCGGCACUUUGUUCCAGCACCAAGCAGCUUGUUGCGUGAUGGAGCAAGUCCCAUCCUAUAGUAGAACAGCCAAGAUUGGCAGGGUGCACCAAGGUCUUCUAACUUGUAUGAGGUGUGGAGUUAACAUGUUGCAAGAGAAAGGUCCUCUUCUUUGGCUUGACUUGCAAAGUUCGAGCCUCCAACUUAGCUUCAUGUUGUAGCAGUCAGAGUUGAUGGUUUGUCUGGAUUCCAGGAAAUCUUGAGGAUUAUUCCUUUCCUUUUCCAGAAGACAGUGCAUAUCACUUUACCUGCUGAAGGCUGUGUUUUGAACUUUUUUCAAAAAAAUUGGAUCGUAGUGGUAACAACACAUUGAGUAAUUAUUCUAUCCGGGAAACUGUCACCUUCAGCCUCAUAUCAGUUCAGUAGAUCCUGACAAACUUGCAUAUGGUGUCCUUUCAGUUCCUAAGUGAGCUUUUGUGGGACUUACCUGGUGCGAGUUUUGCACUAUUUCAACAUUGCCACUGUUGUUUCCAGUGCAUUGAAGCUGAUAUUUAGCUCCAUACACAGUUCCCUGGUCAUAAUCCACUGACUCAUAUGAAUGAGUGACCAAGAUGCUCUUCAUUUUGUGGUGUGUUAACUGUGUAUGGCAUAGCUGUCUGUAAUGUGUCUUGUCCUUCAUGGAGUCUUUGUCACUGCUGAAGCAGUGCCCCAUUGUGCUCGUAUCUACUGUUUGAUGCUGAAUGUUUAUGGAGACCAAUGAAUAUUAAUCUGUGCAUUUUUUUCCAUGUGAAGGGAUUCUGCACCUCUACUUCAUGCACAUUUCCAUGUCAGAUGCUAUUUUGUCAGUCUGCCAUAUAUCACACGCGACAAAACAUGACAGCAUAUUGACAGGAAGGUUUGACCUCUACUGCCGUAUCAUUACCAUCUGCCUCUGACCUUGUGAGCCAGCAUGAUAGAAUAGGAGGCAUUACUUUAAGACCAGCCCUCGUAUAUAGGAAUAUGAAAUGCAGCCUGUUCAACCUGGAAGUAACAAGAAUGUAAAUGAGGAUGACAGACUUUGUUAGAUCCUGAACUCGUAUUGUCAUAAAUACUUGCAAACUGAAACUGUUUAAAAUUGAGGUGCCCUUAAAGAAGGGAGAUGAAUUUGGGAUUUUAAUUUGAGUAUUGAUACUAAUGAAAGCUUAUGAUGCCCUCUUUGAGACCUUUGUAUUACUAUUAGCUAUUUAAACACAUUUGGUCUGGGAGGAAAAAAAGAGGAGAACACAGAGAAGUACAUAGUUACAAACAUAUAUUUCAAGACACAGUGCACCUUACAGCAGUGUGAUUUCUAAAUGAAAGGGACCAGGGUAGGGAACCACUGCUUCUGCUGAAAGCAAACAUAUGCAUUUUCAAGGAUAGUAAGAAUUAAUGUGCAAGUUCAUGUGUUAUGAUGAUUUCAUCAGCAAGCUAGUGAUCAUGUUUACAAGGGAACCUAACCAUAACCUCACCAGCUGUUUUAGGGUGACUUCUUGGAACCCAGCACAUUGUUUUAAUUUAAUAUACUAGCAUUAUGCUAAUAGCUGUUAAGGACUACUGAUAAUAUCUGUUCUGAUGUAGCUGAAAGCCAUUAGUUCUUUUGGCCAAAUACAGUUUUCCAUUUAACUGAACAAUUACAUGGAAUCAUGUUAUUCGUAUUAAUGCAAUUUGAACAACUGGUGUCUAGACGAAUGAAAAAGGUUGGUAAUCUUGUAUUAAUGAGGAUUUAUCAUUUGACUAAGUAACAUAUAUAUUUAAAUAUGAAUAAAAUGUUAUUUACUAAUAUAGGUAUGUAGUUU
ensembl:lncRNA